UCAGUUACUGUAGUGAACAAUACCAUUUUUCACUGUAGAUUUAGUGAUUUAAUAGAUUCAAAAUCACUGUAGAUUUAAAAAAAAACUUAUAGCAUACGGUAAGUAGAUUUCGUGUUUAAGACUGACACUGCAGUAACUCAUAUGUGCUUAUUGGAGUUUUAUGACUCUGAAUUUUGUACUAGUCCUAAGAAUGGUGAAUAACCAGAAAACUGGCUUUUGUUUGCUACUUAGAGAAACUUUCAUAUGAUUUUCUGACAUGUUUAGUGUCUUGGGAAACUAUCCUAUCCAAUGUAAUCACAGGACAACAGUAGCAAUGUAUGAGGUCACUAUGAGGUUGAGUUCUUGGACAGAAGUCACAUUAUCUUAAUUGGACUAGAAAGGACGUGGAACAGGCUCCUCAGCCAGGCAGAAUUAAAAGCCUCGAAGCAAGGAUGGAAUAAAGCUACUGACUGCAAAUCUCACAUGCCUGCGGUCUCCUCUCUCUGGGAAUGCAAGAUACCUUUGCAAACAGUCAUUGCAGACUACCUGGACAGGAUGCAGAUAGCAAGCAGCCACUCUCCUAGAUGUCAUGGAGGAGCUCCUCGGAGUCCACCAGAGCAGUCUUGCAUUUGAUUCUGGACUACCCAGGGAUGAAGAGUGAAAAAGAUGGGGCCUGGGAAUACUCUGAAGACCAAUGUCCUCAGACUGUGACCUUCCAGGAAGUCACCAAGGAGCUCCCAAGGUCACAAGGAUUAAAUCCCAAGAUGAGCUGAACAUUGAAAACAAAUCUACAUAUCUCUCACUCUCCCACAGAGGAAAGCAAUUCAGAUACCAUCAACAUAAGCAGAGAUGGAGAGCUGACUCCCGAGGAUGGAUCCUCUCUCACUGUUGUUGUUUUGAUGUUUGUAUGUAGAGAUCAUUUCCCCCCGAAGAAUAAGUGAUCUUAGGUAAAGGAUUGUGUAUGUUAGUUAAUCCCUGUGUCCCCCAACCCUCCAUCAGUGCUAAUGACUGGCUUUAUAUUUUCUAGGUCCUAUUCUAGCUUAUGAAUGUGAAAUUGUUUAAACUUCUUGUUUUGCCAUAUUUAUUCCUGUUAAAUCCUCUU
rnacentral:lncRNA from 1 species